rnacentral:rRNA from 1 species
UACGUAGGGGGCAAGCGUUGUUCGGAUUUACUGGGCGUAAAGCGCACGUAGGCGGAUUGGUCAGUUAGGGGUGAAAUCCUGGAGCUCAACUCCAGAACUGCCUUUAAUACUGCCAGUCUCGAGUCCGGAAGAGGUAAGUGGAACUCCUAGUGUAGAGGUGGAAUUCGUAGAUAUUAGGAAGAACACCAGUGGCGAAGGCGGCUUACUGGUCCAUUACUGACGCUGAGGUGCGAAAGCGUGGGGAGCAAACAGG